AUUGAACGCUGGCGGCAGGCCUAACACAAGCAAGUCGAGCGGGGUUUUCGGACCUAGCGGCGGACGGGUGAGUAAUGCGUAGGAAGCUACCCGAUAGAGGGGGAUACCAGUUGGAAACGACUGUUAAUACCGCAUAAUGUCUACGGACCAAAGUGUGGGACCUUCGGGCCACAUGCUAUCGGAUGCGCCUACGUGGGAUUAGCUAGUUGGUGAGGUAAUGGCUCACCAAGGCGACGAUCCCUAGCUGGUUUGAGAGGAUGAUCAGCCACACUGGAACUGAGACACGGUCCAGACUCCUACGGGAGGCAGCAGUGGGGAAUAUUGGACAAUGGGCGCAAGCCUGAUCCAGCCAUGCCGCGUGUGUGAAGAAGGCCUUCGGGUUGUAAAGCACUUUCAGUAGGGAGGAAGCGUUGUGUGUUAAUAGUACACAGCGUUGACGUUACCUACAGAAGAAGCACCGGCUAACUCUGUGCCAGCCGCCGCGGUAAGAC
rnacentral:rRNA from 1 species